GCUCCUUCCUCCUCUCCCCGGGGGAAUCAGCUUGCCUGAGGCCCCGCGGCAGCCGGGCAUCGUGCCAUAUGCAAUCAAAGCCCCCAGCCCGGAACAGUCAUCAAUCUUCCUUGGACGUGGGCCACACGCGGCCCUAAAUAGAUUUGAUGGGGCAAAAUAUUCAAAUUAAUUUGGGAUUGAGUGGUGGCCUCCCGAGCUGCUCCCCCCCCCCCUCCGCCUGUGCUCCCGCUCCAUGCAUCACCCGGCCGCGGCCCCAAUCUGAGCCUCAGAGCAGAUGGGAUAAAUCACCCGCCGCCUCCGUUUAGCACGGCUCUGAUUGCCGGUGCUGGCUCACCGGGGAAAUCAGGCUCAAAGAUUAAAGACAAGAAAUGCUGCAGCCUCUAGAGUCUAAAAUGGAGAAAUGAGGUGUUGCUGGUAAAAGCUCUCAAAGAGUAGGAGGUGACAGCAGCUAUCUAUCCAUCUAUAGUGGUGCCAAAGUGUUGUCAAAAAAUCAGAGGUAAAAAUAUGUAAAGGAUACCUUUACACAAAGGAGGUCUGUUUUCAG